rnacentral:rRNA from 1 species
AUUGAACGCUGGCGGCAGGCUUAACACAUGCAAGUCGAACGAGUGGCGGACGGGUGAGUACUGCUUGGGAAUCUGGCUUGUGGAGGGGGAUCACUACGGGAAACUGUAGCUAAUACCGCGUACCAUAGGAUGAGCCCAAGUGGGAUUAGGUAGGUGGUGAGGUAAAGGCUCACAAAGCCGACGAUCUUUAGCUGGUCGGAGAGGAUGACCAGCCACACUGGGACUGAGACACGGCCCAGACUCCUACGGGAGGCAGCAGUGGGGAAUAUUGGGCAAUGGGGGAAACCUGAUGCAGCCAUGCCGCGUGAAUGAAGAAGGCCUUCGGGUUGUAAAGUUCUUUCGGUAGCGAUGCGUUAACUACAGAAGAAGCACCGGCUAACUCCGUGCCAGCAGCCGCGGUAAUUC